AUGGAUAUCGUCUCGAAUCGAGACGCUAAUACAUGUAUAACGACCUCAAGAGAACCCUUUGUGGUUUCGUCUUCUACUUCAACUUUUGAAUAUGUAUAAAUCCACGUAUCGAGUGGCUGUUUCUACAGUCAUCUCGAGAGUUCACAGUUCGUACUGAUCCAUCAAUUUGUUUGUGGUAUCUUUGACUAGAAAGAUAUUUACGGAUAACGAAGGAUUAGGGUUCGAUCUCGGAGAGGAGGCCUGAUAUACUGCCUCCACUUCCAAGGAAGGCAGCAGGAGCGAAAAUUACUCAAUGACACAUCGUCGAAGUAGUGACGAAAACUACCAGAGCUAUGCCCGUAUAGGGAUAGUAUUUGGGAUGAGUACAAUUUAAAACCAUUCACGAGCAACAAUAAGAGGGCAAGUCUGGUGCCAGCAGCCGCGGUAAUUCCAGCUCUUAGGGUGUAUCUGGACGUUGUUGCAGUUAAAAAGCUCAUAGCCAAUUUAACAUGUACGACGUUCUUGGAAAGUCAUUCCCGUCAAAAGGUUUGAUUAAAUCCGAAAGGUCAUACUUGAAAACUCUUUCUAGAAACCUUAGGAGUGUAAUAGCGACUUUGGGCUCUGUGCUUGACAUGGGGUAUUCCAUUUUUAGAAAGACGAUAACUUUGAAGAAAUUAGAGUGUUCAUUACAAGCCAGUUGGCUUUGAAUAUAUUAGCAUGGUAUUAUGAAAUACGACUGACUAGUAUUCUCAUAAAGACGAGCUACUGUCAAAGGUAGACCGGGACUAGAUUAGUAAUGAGAGAAAAAGACUGGAUGAGUGGCCUGUAUUUACAAGGGAAAGGUGAAAUUUUAUGAUCUUGUAAAGACAAACUAAUGCGAAAGCACUCCACUGGAAUGUUUUUUUUAGUCAAGAACGAAAGUUCAGGGCGCGAAGAUGCUUAGAUACCAUCGUAGUCUGAACUGUAAACAAUGUUGAUUUAGGAUCUCAGAUCAUUAUUUUAUGACUUCUGAGGCACUACAUGAGAAAUCUAGAAUAUUCGAACUCUGGGGGUAGUAUAGUCGCAAGGCCGAAACUUAAAAGAAUUGACGGAAGAGCACCACAAGGCGUGGAACCUGCGGC
rnacentral:rRNA from 1 species